rnacentral:misc_RNA from 1 species
GAUGAAGAACGUAGCGAAAUGCGAUACGUAAUGUGAAUUGCAAAUUCAGUGAAUCAUCGAGUCUUUGAACGCACAUUGCGCCCCCUGGUAUUCCGGGGGGCAUGCCUGUCCGAGCGUCAUUGCUGCCCUCAAGCACGGCUUGUGUGUUGGGCCCCGUCCUCCGAUCCCGGGGGACGGGCCUGAAAGGCAGCGGCGGCACCGCGUCCGGUCCUCGAGCGUAUGGGGCUUUGUCACCCGCUCUGUAGGCCCGGCCGGCGCUUGCCGAUCAACCCAAAUUUUUUAUCCAGGUUGACCUCGGAUCAGGUAGGGAUACCCGCUGAACUUAAGCAUAUCAAUAAGCGGAGGA